rnacentral:sRNA from 1 species
GGGGUGGGCGUGGUUAGAGUACUGACCACCCUCUCCCAUGAGGCUUUCUGGAUUAUUCUCUGAACUUUAUCGGACAUGUCAUGCUGCCCAAGGACAUAGCCAAGCUGGUCCCUAAAACCCAUUUGAUGUCUGAAUCUGAAUGGAGGAAUCUUGGCGUUCAGCAGAGUCAGGGAUGGGUCCAUUAUAUGAUCCAUGAACCAGAACCUCACAUCUUGCUGUUCCGGCGCCCACUACCCAAGAAACCAAAGAAAUGAAGCUGGCAAGCUACUUUUCAGCCUCAGGCUUUACACAGCUGUCCUUACUUCCUAACAUCUUUCUGAUAACAUUAUUAUGUUACCUUCUUGUUUCUCACUUUGAUAUUUAAAAGAUGUUCAAUACACUGUUUGAAUGUGCUGGUAACUGCUUUGCUUCUUGAGUAGAGCCACCACCACCACAGCCCAGCCAGAUGAGUGCUCUGUGGACCCAUAGCCUCAGCUCAGUGUGACCCCAGAAGCCACGAUGUGCUCUGUAUCCAGAACACACCUGGCAGAUGGAGGAAGCAUCUGAGUUUGAGACCAUGGCUGUUACAGGGAUCAUGUAAACUUGCUGUUUUUGUUUUUUCC